rnacentral:rRNA from 1 species
GGCGCAAGGGUGCGUAACACGUGGGUAAUCUGCCAUGAGGUUCGGGAUAAUCCCGCGAAAGCGGGACUAAUACCGGAUGUGACAGCUGGAGGGCAUCUUCUGGCUGUUAAAGUUGGGGACCGCAAGGCCUGACGCUUCAUGAUGAGCCCGCGGCCUAUCAGCUAGUUGGUGAGGUAACGGCUCACCAAGGCUAAGACGGGUAGCUGGUCUGAGAGGACGACCAGCCACACUGGAACUGAGACACGGUCCAGACACCUACGGGUGGCAGCAGUCGAGAAUUUUUCACAAUGGGCGCAAGCCUGAUGGAGCGACGCCGCGUGGGGGAUGAAUGGCUUCGGCCCGUAAACCCCUGUCAUUUGCGAUCAACCCUCAUUAUUUAAAAGAUGAUGAGCUGAUGGUAGCGAAAGAGGAAGGGACGGCUAACUCUGUGCCAGCAGCCGCGGUAAUACAGAGGUCCCGAGCGUUGUUCGGAUUCACUGGGCGUAAAGGGUGCGUAGGUGGUGGGGUAAGUCGGAUGUGAAAUCUCGGAGCUCAACUCCGAAAUGGCAUUG